UUUUUAAAAGAAAAAAUAAAUAAUCCCCCCACCGCUUUAAGUACCGAAAACCGCAAAUAUUUUCUUCUUCAUCAUUUUCAAGAAAACACACUCUUAAUCAAUCCCUCCACCUCUUCACUCUCUGCUCUCUCCUCAGCUUCUCACUAAUCAUCAAACAGGUUUUAAAAGAUGGCAGAUGAAGAUAUUCAACCCCUUGUCUGUGAUAAUGGAACAGGAAUGGUUAAGGCUGGAUUUGCUGGUGAUGAUGCACCAAGGGCUGUUUUUCCUAGUAUUGUCGGUCGACCUAGACACACCGGUGUUAUGGUAGGGAUGGGUCAAAAGGAUGCAUAUGUAGGUGAUGAAGCUCAGUCAAAAAGGGGUAUUCUCACCUUGAAGUAUCCCAUUGAGCAUGGAAUAGUUAGCAACUGGGACGAUAUGGAGAAGAUUUGGCAUCAUACCUUUUACAAUGAGUUGCGUGUUUCUCCUGAAGAGCACCCUGUGCUUCUCACUGAAGCACCCUUGAACCCCAAGGCAAAUAGAGAGAAAAUGACACAAAUCAUGUUUGAGACUUUCAAUGUCCCUGCCAUGUAUGUUGCUAUUCAGGCGGUGUUGUCUCUUUAUGCCAGUGGCCGUACAACAGGUAUUGUACUGGAUUCCGGUGAUGGUGUCAGUCAUACAGUGCCAAUUUAUGAAGGUUAUGCCCUUCCUCACGCAAUUCUUCGGUUGGAUCUAGCUGGGCGUGAUCUUACUGAUUGUCUGAUGAAAAUCCUGACUGAAAGAGGUUAUUCAUUCACCACUAGUGCUGAACGGGAAAUUGUCCGCGAUAUGAAAGAAAAACUAGCAUAUGUUGCACUUGACUAUGAGCAAGAGUUGGAGACUGCAAAGAGUAGCUCUGCUGUUGAAAAAAGCUAUGAGUUACCAGAUGGGCAGGUGAUUACCAUUGGAGCAGAGAGGUUCAGAUGCCCAGAAGUCUUAUUCCAGCCAUCACUUGUAGGAAUGGAAGCUGCUGGAAUCCAUGAAACAACUUACAAUUCCAUCAUGAAGUGCGAUGUAGAUAUCAGAAAGGAUCUUUAUGGCAACAUUGUCCUCAGUGGUGGAACAACAAUGUUUCCUGGUAUUGCUGAUCGUAUGAGCAAGGAAAUUACUGCUCUUGCUCCCAGCAGCAUGAAAAUCAAGGUGGUGGCGCCUCCUGAACGCAAGUACAGUGUCUGGAUUGGAGGUUCUAUCUUAGCUUCUCUCAGCACUUUCCAACAGAUGUGGAUAACAAAGGGUGAAUAUGAUGAAUCCGGUCCUUCCAUUGUUCACCGGAAAUGCUUCUAAGUUGAUCGACGAAAGAGUUCAAUCUUCUCAUUAUCUGUGUCAACAGUUCGGAUGGAGUUCUGAGCAGAACUAUGUUAAAGUUGAAUGUUUUGAGUUCAUAAAGAUGAAGCGUUGAUGGAGGAGGAUGUGUGUUCCACUUGCUCAAUCAUUCCAUAUCUUCCUUCCUUUUACUUUAUUUCCACAAAUAUGAAAAAGACAGCUUCUGCAGUGUUCACUCAAUUCAAAAAAAGGCUCAAUUUUUUCAUUCAAAAUCAUCAUACAAAAUGGUGGGGCUGCCAUAUUCUUGGGCUCACUGCUAUGGUUUAAACAGGGCCACGAAAAUGAUCAAUUAUGCACAGUAUUGUGAAGAUCCUGCUUUUUUUUUCUUUUUCUGGGGCUUAAAAUGGUUACUCCGAAGGGGAGCCUUGGAGUAACUGGUAAAGUUGCUGCCAUGUGAACAGGAGGUCACGGGUUCAAGCCUUGGAAAUAGUCUUUGGCAGAAAUGCAAGGGAAUAUUUCCACUAGUGUAUCAACUAGGGCUAGGCAUUGGAGAAAUAUGCAAGUAAUGAUGAGAAAUUAGGGGUCUGGGAGAAAAUUCUUAGUCAUAAUGGAUGUGGAGAGACGAAUGGGAGUUGAUACGUUAGCUAUGUUACACCACUUGUGGGAUUACUAUGGGUAUGUUGUUGUCGUUGUAUUUCGAGGCAAAUUAAUAGUUCUUGUGACAUGGCAUGGCAACAGAUAAGACGAUGAGACUUCUAGUUUCGUCUGUUUCAUUAUUUGGGGAGGAUGUUGUUAGGAUUUAAGCUGUAAUGGAAUCAAGCAGUCUCUAAAUUUAUCAAAGAAAUCAAAUUAGGAGACUGUUUCAUACGCCAUGUCUUAGAUUGUAACAGAUGUGAAACACUUGGUGUCUAACUGAUAUGCUUGGGAGAGAUAUUUCUUGUGAAGUUGCUGAACAUACGCCUUUUUGGACUUGACCAAGCUUUCUGAUAAAUCCAUGCAAAUAUUUUGAGCUCAAAACAGUUGUUUCACCAGGAAAUAUUUUCCUAUCUAAAUAGGAAUGGAUUGUACAUAUCCCGUGUAUUGACUCUUCAAUGGUUUGUGUGGUUGGCUUGUGGCAUUGUAUUUGAUCUUCCUGUAGCCAGGAGCAGUAGUCCUCAUGACCUCAAAAGUUGCUGGGCUGGACGGUCAAAAGCAAUGCACCAGAUAUAGUCAUCCACUAGAUAAAGAUUCUAAUACUUCAUUGUUGUCCUAAAAAAGGAAGGAACAAACAGAAGCUUGAAUUUAUGACCCUGCCGGCCUUAAACUAGAGAAAACGUGCUCAUUAUCCAGUGGAGAAGCAGCAAUGUGACUGUGAAAGCCAGGCAGACUGUAUUUGGAUGUCUGAAGGUUGAGACAGGAACGUUAGUGCAUGAGACUUGAACAAUAAGUUCCGACAUUAGAAGCUGGUCUACAAGAAGUCGAUACACAUUCAAGUGAAAUGUCAGUGAGCUGGCCCCUUUCAUUCAGAUGCCUUAUAUAUGCUUCCGUCUUCAUUAUCUCCCUUUGCUUUGGAUAUGAACGGAAGUAGAUUUUUUAUCUAAUUGAUUGCCAGUUACUUUUCAAGUUAAUGGUUUGUUAAGACAAAAUUGAGAAGCUGUAAAAUUUACAAGAUAAUAACUAAGUCCGCCAGAAAACUUUUAAA